UGUCUUUCUACAAAAUGAAGCCAUUCAGCUUCUCUCAGCCCCAAGUUAAAGAUGUCACAAUCUUUGACUAUUUCUCCAUCACUGAUUAUCAUUAAGAAUCCUGUGCUUCUCUGAACACAGUGGAGUAGGGAGUAGAAGCAUCUGUGUUUAAGACUCUGGUACUAUCCCUGUUUGUCUAUGCUGCAGAAACAAAAUAUUUCUCAGAAUACAAACACAAUCAAAGGAAAGGCACUUUCAGUCCCUGCUGCAUCAGCAUCACAACACCACUGUCAAUUCCCAAGUUAUUUCCCUACUACCAUAGAGGCACUAUAAACCAGCUAUUGCCUUUGCUGAUGAAACACUCUGGUUGAAAUGCAAGGCAGAUAGUUCAAAUAAUAGAUGUAACAUAACCUUUCUCCAUUCUAUACCUCUAAAUUGGAGUAAGUUAAUUAUCCUUUCUUUGACAGGGCUAAGUGAAACAAGUGCUUUACAAAUCCUCAAAUCAAGAGAGUUCUUUGGAAGAUAAUAGAAGGCUCCAUACUGCAGUCAAUGAACUCUGAUCUACAAAAUCUUUCUUCAAUUUACAUCCCUAGACCUAAAUACAGUUUCUGACAUGUUUAAGCAGAAGGAUUUAAUCCUAUGCACCCUCAUUACUUUUUCUACAAAAGGCCAUUUUUAUACUUGAAUCAGUGACACUUGAUCCUGCUUCACCCAAAGGAUUUUCAUCUCAAGACCAGAAUUUUAAGUAAAUAUGUUUUAACAAAGCAUUGAAAAACAGUAAGAGAAAUUGGAAUGCCUCUGAAGUUUAAGCUAGUUAACAGAGACAGUUAUUUACAACAGAGGUGGAAACCAGAGGAGCAGAAGGCAGACUUUCUUCUUCAACUCCAGUUUCCUGAAGUGUGUUUCUCCUCUCCACUUCUCAAGCACAUGAAAAAAGGUAGUGAGGAUUUCAUGCCUGAGCAGACAUCUCCUAUCCCCCUCCUGAGAACUCUCUGAGCAAGUGAUUUGAUUGAAAAGGAUAAGUGGCUGUGGAAUUCUGAGCACAAGAACCACCCAAGGAGGCCAUUUCCAUGAAGAUUCUGCAAACCACUGUUCUGACCUACAGCAUUUCGAAACUCACUUCCAAAUAUUUAAUUUGCUAUCAUGCAACAAAUACUUCUAAUCACUUUCUCAGAAAGAAGACUGCAUUUUUAAGGAAGUGAGGAGACCCUUUGACCUGUUCUAGUAAAGUUACACUCCACUACUACUUGCAGACAAGCCCUGUCAGGCCCCCCACUUUGUGUGCAGCCUGGGAAACACAAGGGACUGGCUGAUGUCAAGCUUGUUGAUGAGCAUAAGGGAACUAUUGUAAAAUUAGCACUUCCCCAGGAACUGAGCCUAUUCCUCAACUUACCUCUAGCCUUCCAAAUUCAGAAAGAUAUUAAAAAUAUACAUAACAUGGUAACGCUACUGACACUUGCUUUUACUUCCCUGAGACCAUAUAAAUUGCCUUAGAUAUGAGAGGGCAAAAAAAAAAAAAGAUCAGGCACUACCAAAUA